AUACCUUUCUCUGCCUUUUCGCUAAUAUCAGGUGUAGUGUCUGUUUUUAUCUGUUUAGUAUUUGAUAGGUGGAUUUACGGAUUCAUGAGAUAUUAAUUUAGUUUUUUGUGGGGAAGAGUUCGUCUAUGUAGCUCGAUGCAUGGACGGAUCUGAUGUGUCUUCCAAGUGUUGCACUUCUGCUUGGAAUAGGCGCACCCUAC
rfam:Triticum aestivum genome assembly, contig: Triticum_aestivum_CS42_TGACv1_scaffold_557958_7AL